GCCUCCCCCUACACCCAAAUCGCAGAGAAAAAACAUUACCACUUCAGUCGCUAAGAGAUUCAUGACAGACACGAAGAGAACCACUUACCGAAUCUAAGCGAGCACUAACCGCGUGCAAAAAUGAAGGAAAAUAAAUGGAUUAGGAAAAAAUUAAGAAAAAGAAAAAGAAGAGAAAGAUGGAAAAACUCAAAGGAUUUCGGCAAAAGGAGAUGGAGAAAGAAAGAUAGCAGAUUUUUUUUGGAAAAGAGAGUCAAAAUUCAAUUAUGGGAAAAAAAUAAAAUAAAAUCUCAAUAACCCCAAAAUCUCUUAAUCUUCUCCCCUAAUUCUCAUCCACUACUUAGAAUCUCUCUAUUACACAACUUUAUCUCGAAAUCUAAGCAAAAAACCCUUGCCUGCAU
rnacentral:lncRNA from 1 species